CGAUGUUGUAUGGGGCGGAGUGCUGGCCCGUGAAGAACUCGCAUGUUCAGAGGAUGAAGGUUGCGGAGAUGAGGAUGCUUAGGUGGAUGUGCGGAAACACCAGGCUAGAUAAGAUUAAGAUGAAGUUAUUCGAGAGAAGGUGGGGGUGGCCCCGGUGGAUGAGAAGAUGCGAGAAGCGAGGCUAAGGUGGUUCGGACAUGUACGAAGGAGAAGUCCUGAUGCCCCGGUGAGGAGUUGCGAG
rnacentral:lncRNA from 1 species